GCUCAGCUAGCUCAGUCAGUAGAGCAUGAGACUCUUAAUCUCAGGGUCAUGGGUGCAGGCCUCAUGUUGGGCA
rnacentral:tRNA from 1 species